AAACGCUUAAAGUCAGUCGCAUUUGUUGAAGAUCAACCCGGCCUUUGGCUUGGUGCACUCUUUGAUAGAUGGGUCAGCAUCAAUUUUGACCGGGGGAAAAAGUUGAAGGGAAUGUGGCACUCUUCGGGGUGUGUUAUAGCCUUUUUUCAUAUACCUCGGUUGGGAUUGAGGAACUCAGUACGCCCGCAAGGGUUGGGCUUCGGCUACAUACGUACUUAGGAUGCUGGCAUAAUGUCUUUAAUCGA
rnacentral:rRNA from 1 species